ensembl:lncRNA
GGGGGUAAUGUGUUUUGGAAAGAGAGAGAGAGACUGAGGGAGGGUGAGCCCGAGGGGGUAAUGUGUUUUGGAGUGAGAGAGAGAGACUGAGGGAGGGUGAGAUGGAGGAGGGUAAUGUGUUUUGGAAAGAGAGAGAGACUGAGGGAGAGUGAGAUGGAGGGGGUAAUGAGUUUUGGAGAGAGAGAGAGAGAGAGACUGAGGGAGGGUGAGAUGGAAUGGGGUAAUGUUUUUUGGAGAGAGACUGAGGGAGGGUGAGAUGUAGGGGGUAAUGUGUUUUGGAAAGAGAGAGAAAGACUGAGGGAGGGUGAGCCCGAGGGGGGUAAUGUGUUUUGGAGAGAGAGAGAGAGACUGAGGGAGGGUGAGAUGGAGGGGGUAAUGUGUUUUGGAGAGAGAGAGAGACUGAGGGAGGGUGAGAUGGAGGGGGGUAAUGUGUUUUGGAAAGAGAGAGAGACUGAGGGAGGGUGAGAUGGAGGGGGGUAAUGUGUUUUGGAGAGAGAGAGAGACUGAGGGAGGGCAAGAUGGAGGGGGUAAUGUGUUUUGGAGAGAGAGAGAGAGACUGAGGGAGGGCGAGAUGGAGGGGGUAAUGUGUUUUGGAGAGAGAGAGAGAGACUGAGGGAGGGCGAGAUGGAGGGGGGUAAUGUGUUUUGGAAAGAGAGAGAGAGAGAGAGAGAGGGAGGGAGA